UAGGGAAUUUUCCACAAUGGACGAAAGUCUGAUGGAGCAACGCCGCGUGCAGGAUGAAUGCCUUCGGGUUGUAAACUGCUUUUAUAUGUGACGAAUAUGACGGUAGCAUAUGAAUAAGGAUCGGCUAACUCCGUGCCAGCAGCCGCGGUCAUACGGAGGAUCCAAGCGUUAUCCGGAAUUACUGGGCGUAAAGAGUUGCGUAGGUGGCAGAGUGUGUCUGUAGUGAAAGCGUGUGGCUCAACCACAUAUCCAUUAUAGAAACUGCUCAGCUAGAGGACGAGAGAGGUUAUUGGAAUUCCUUGUGUAGGGGUAAUAUCCGUAGAUAUAAGGAAGAACACCGAUGGCGUAGGCAGAUAACUGGCUCGUUCCUGACACUAAGGCACGAAAGCGUGGGGAGCAA
rnacentral:rRNA from 1 species